AUCCCAGUUCGGAUUGCAGGCUGNAACCCGCCUGUAUGAAGUUGGAAUCGCUAGUAAUCGCGGAUCAGCAUGCCGCGGUGAAUACGUUCCCGGGCCUUGUACACACCGCCCGUCACACCAUGAGAGUCGGGAACACCCGAAGUCCGUAGCCUAACCGCAAGGAGGGCGCGGCCGAAGGCGGGCUCGAUAAUUGGGGUGAAGUCGUAACAAGGUAAC
rnacentral:rRNA from 1 species